rnacentral:misc_RNA from 1 species
UAGCCUACUGUUAUAAAAGCACACCACAAGAUAACAAAUAGCUAGCUAGAAUAUAAUACAAGAAACGAGGAUUGGUAAAAUGAUUUCCAAGUUGGCAUUAAGAUGAAGAAAGCCUCAAACCAAGAUCUUCAGAAUCAUUUUUCAGAUUGAUUAUAUGAGGCAGAGGUUGAUGAUCACACUUUCCGCAGAAUAAAAACUUGACAGUAAACAUAUAAAUCUACAUCAGUG